AAAAGUUGAUUAAAUUCCAUAAAUCAGAUCUCCUUACAAAUGCAAAUAGCAAAAUUGAUAAUAACCUAAGCCUAAGAAAAAAGAAAAACCGAAACUGAAAUUACAAAGAAAAUUAUAAAGUAUGAAAGUUGUUCAUAACAAGUGUUUAAUGAGCCUAUUUAUAAAUUUUGGGUUGCCAUUGUCCUCAAUCCAAGGCCAGCUGACGCUCUUGUAUUAAAAAUUGAUUGUGUAGACCAAAAUGCCCCUGUCUUGUAAGUAUUUCUCAUACAGGAUCGAUGUUCUGACACCAUAAUGCCUGUGUUGCAACAUCGAAGGUAGUAUGCUCGUACUCAGGGUAGCUUCAGGGGUGUAUCGCGACAUCUCUUGGUUGUGUCACGAUACUAAAGGUGGUCUUAGGUAUGCUC
rnacentral:lncRNA from 1 species